UAGGUGGCAAGCGUUGUCCGGAUUUACUGGGUGUAAAGGGCGUGCAGCCGGGAAGACAAGUCAGAUGUGAAAUCCACAGGCUCAACUUGUGAACUGCAUUUGAAACUGUUUUUCUUGAGUACCGGAGAGGUCAUCGGAAUUCCUUGUGUAGUGGUGAAAUGCGUAGAUAUAAGGAAGAACACCAGUGGCGAAGGCGGAUGACUGGACGGCAACUGACGGUGAGGCGCGAAAGCGUGGGGAGCAAA
rnacentral:rRNA from 1 species